rnacentral:rRNA from 1 species
CCUACGGGAGGCAGCAGUGGGGAAUAUUGGGCAAUGGGCGCAAGCCUGACCCAGCAACGCCGCGUGAAGGAAGAAGGCUUUCGGGUUGUAAACUUCUUUUCUCAGGGACGGAGCAAGUGACGGUACCUGAGGAAUAAGCCACGGCUAACUACGUGCCAGCAGCCGCGGUAAUACGUAGGCGGCAAGCGUUAUCCGGAUUUACUGGGUGUAAAGGGCGUGUAGGCGGGACUGCAAGUCAGAUGUGAAAACCACGGGCUCAACCUGUGGCCUGCCUUUGAAACUGUAAUUCUUGAGUACUGGAGAGGCAGACGGAAUGCGUGGUGUAGCGGUGAAAUGCGUAGAUAUUAGGAAGAACACCGGUGGCGAAGGCAGUCUGCUGGACAGCAACUGACGCUGAGGCGCGAAAGCGUGGGGAGCAAACAGGAUUAGAUACCCGAGUAGUC